UCAGCAGCCGCGGUAAUACGUAGGUGGCAAGCGUUGUCCGGAAUUACUGGGUGUAAAGGGCGUGUAGGCGGGGAUGCAAGUUAGAUGUGAAAUCCCGAGGCUUAACCUCGGGUCUGCAUCUAAAACUGCGUUUCUUGAGUGCUGGAGAGGAAAGCGGAAUUCCUAGUGUAGCGGUGAAAUGCGUAGAUAUUAGGAGGAACACCAGUGGCGAAGGCGGCUUUCUGGACAGUAACUGACGCUGAGACGCGAAAGCGUGGGGAGCAAACAGGAUUAGAUACCCUGGUAGUCCACGCCGUAAACGAUGGAUACUAGGUGUAGGGGGUAUCGAUCCCCUCUGUGCCGCAGUUAACACAAUAAGUAUCCCACCUGGGGAGUACGGCCGCAAGGUUGAAACUUAAAGGAAUUGGCGGGGGAC
rnacentral:rRNA from 1 species